AUGAACGCUGGCGGCGUGCCUAAUACAUGCAAGUCGAGCGAACAGAUGAGGAGCUUGCUCCUCUGACGUUAGCGGCGGACGGGUGAGUAACACGUGGAUAACCUACCUAUAAGACUGGGAUAACUUCGGGAAACCGGAGCUAAUACCGGAUAAUAUAUUGAACCGCAUGGUUCAAUAGUGAAAGACGGUUUUGCUGUCACUUAUAGAUGGAUCCGCGCCGCAUUAGCUAGUUGGUAAGGUAACGGCUUACCAAGGCAACGAUGCGUAGCCGACCUGAGAGGGUGAUCGGCCACACUGGAACUGAGACACGGUCCAGACUCCUACGGGAGGCAGCAGUAGGGAAUCUUCCGCAAUGGGCGAAAGCCUGACGGAGCAACGCCGCGUGAGUGAUGAAGGUCUUCGGAUCGUAAAACUCUGUUAUUAGGGAAGAACAAAUGUGUAAGUAACUAUGCACGUCUUGACGGUACCUAAUCAGAAAGCCACAGCUAACUACGUG
rnacentral:rRNA from 1 species